GCGUCACUGAUGGAUGGACCCGCGGUGCAUUAGCUAGUUGGUGAGGUAACGGCUCACCAAGGCAACGAUGCAUAGCCGACCUGAGAGGGUGAUCGGCCACACUGGGACUGAGACACGGCCCAGACUCCUACGGGAGGCAGCAGUAGGGAAUCUUCGGCAAUGGACGAAAGUCUGACCGAGCAACGCCGCGUGAGUGAAGAAGGUUUUCGGAUCGUAAAACUCUGUUGUUAGAGAAGAACAAGGAUGAGAGUAAAAUGUUCAUCCCUUGACGGUAUCUAACCAGAAAGCCACGGCUAACUACGUGCCAGCAGCCGCGGUAAUACGUAGGUGGCAAGCGUUGUCCGGAUUUAUUGGGCGUAAAGCGAGCGCAGGCGGUUUCUUAAGUCUGAUGUGAAAGCCCCCGGCUCAACCGGGGAGGGUCAUUGGAAACUGGGAGACUUGAGUGCAGAAGAGGAGAGUGGAAUUCCAUGUGUAGCGGUGAAAUGCGUAGAUAUAUGGAGGAACACCAGUGGCGAAGGCGGCUCUCUGGUCUGUAACUGACGCUGAGGCUCGAAAGCGUGGGGAGCGAACAGGAUUAGAUACCCUGGUAGUCCACGCCGUAAACGAUGAGUGCUAAGUGUUGGAGGGUUUCCGCCCUUCAGUGCUGCAGC
rnacentral:rRNA from 1 species